ACUGUAUCUGAAGUCUCUUUAUAUAGACCUUAGUGGUCCCUUUGGUUGCAGGUCUGGUCUGUGUGUGUGGACGGCAGCGAGCAGCAGGAAGACGGUGCAGACGGAGAGAAGGAGCGGCUGAGAAGGUUAAACCGGCAGCUGAAGAGUCGAACCGCUCAGCUGGAUGCAGAAAUAGAAACCAUGACCAUGCAGCUGUGUGAAGCGUGUGAUCCCCCGACGAGAGGACGACACAACGCCGGUGGAUCCAGACCCGGGACCUGGACUCAUGCAGCUCAGGUCUGCUCCGACAGGAACUCGGAGGUCGAAGGUUCGAGUCCCGACAGCAUCAACUCCCCUGAACGGUGAGGAGC